rnacentral:tRNA from 1 species
GACAGUAGCUCAGUUGGUUAGAUCAUGGUGCUGAUAAUGCCAAGGUUGCGAGUUUGAUCCCCGUAUGAGGCA